rnacentral:tRNA from 1 species
GGGGCUAUAGCUCAUUUUGGAAGAGCACUUGCAUGGCAUGCAAGAGGUGAGGGGUUCAAAUCCCCUUAGCUCCA